CAUCUCCUACGGGGGGCAGCAGUGAGGAAUAUUGCACAAUGGGGGAAACCCUGAUGCAGCGACGCCGCGUGAAGGACGAAGUAUUUCGGUACGUAAACUUCUAUCAGCAGGGAAGAAAAUGACGGUACCUGAGUAAGAAGCCCCGGCUAACUACGUGCCAGCAGCCGCGGUAAUACGUAGGGGGCAAGCGUUAUCCGGAUUUACUGGGUGUAAAGGGAGCGUAGACGGCAUGGCAAGUCUGAAGUGAAAGCCCGGGGCUCAACCGCGGGACUGCUUUGGAAACUGUUAAGCUGGAG
rnacentral:rRNA from 1 species